GUACUUGCUUUGAAAGCACAUAUGCCAGAAUUGGAAUGAUACAGAGAUUAGCAUGGCCCUUGUGUAAGGGUGACAUGCAAAUUUAUGAAGUACACUUUUUUUUU
ensembl:snRNA U6 U6 spliceosomal RNA